GAUGGUACAGAGUGGAAGGAGAAGCAGGCGAAGGAUGGAACUGUGGACAACAGCCAUAUGUGUGUGGCUGGUAGAAAAUGUGGAAGAGAAAACAUCAAGCUGACAAACGGAGGAAGCAGCAAAGAGUUACGAGAGUCGUAAUAGUUUACUGCUUACAGAGAUUAGAACAUUAUUCGAAUAUUGGUGAAUAAACUGAAACUCAGCUAAGUAGCUUUUCUGACAUAUUGGAGCCAGUUUUUAAAUCCAAAACUAUGUCACUCUGUAGUAGGCAUAGUCUAGUCUAACAAGGAAGCAGAAACCACUGUAUAUUCUUCAACCUAAGGAAACUUAAUACAGGGAAAUUGAUACACAAGGGAUGGAAAUGCUCAGGAGCCACACAGGCAAUUCAGAAGUAGCUGUUUCUGAAGAUACCUAUCUCUGAAGGCUCACUCCACCUCAAGGCUGAAGGAAAAUAAGAGUACACAGCUUAACCAAACCCCAAGAUACAGAGUCCCCAUUGGAAGCUGAAACCAUAGAGGAAAGGGUAGCUGGUUGGACCAGAGAACAUGGAGGACAUUCAGGGGUUGCUACAGACUCUGUCUGAGGGAGAGAAAGAAAAAGAACAGUAGAAAUACUUUUACUUUUCUACCUUCUAGUUUUCUGUCAGUGCCUCACAUUGGUUAAUUUUACUCAGAAAUCAAUUGCUAAAAAAAACCUGGGAAAUGUACUCAAUGCCAUGACUCAAUGCAAAAGAGGAGAAGAACAGGAAAUUGAUUUGAGAGUAAACAGGCAAAUUCCAGCACAGAUUCCAUGAGGCUACAUAAGCACUAUACAGUGGGUGGUAUAAACAAAGACAUACAGGUGAGAAAGUAAGAAAUAUGUUCUGGAGUAACAAGCAGUACAGUUUGGCUGUUGCAUAUAAAUCAUUUGGAAAAUUAGGCUGGAGAAGUAGAGAAAUGAGACAACACUGGGAAAUAUGGGGACCUGGCUAAGUUAUUAAAAUUUAAUUUAUUGAGAAGACAAUUUUGACUAGGCAUAUGUUGCAAUUGGCAUGUUGUUUGGAAAACAGUAAUUUGAAAGUUGCAUGUAGAAUGGUCUUGAGAAGACUGGAGAAGCUGAAGAAAGUUGUCUAGCAACGAAGAAAUUGCAAUAGUUUAGGGGAUAAAUGAUAAGACAAUGUGGCAAAGACCUGUAAUUUAUUGUUCAUCUAAUAUGCGCCAGCUACUGUUCUGCAUAAUUUAUAUAUAAACAUUAUCCCAGCUGAUUCUCAUGAAGAGUUUUCAAGGUGAACAUCAUUAUCUGACAUAAAGACCAACUAAGAAUCAGAAAAUUGAAGUGAGAUUUCAACAGUUACAUGCUGAGAAAAGUGACAGCUGGAUCUAAACUACUAGUAAUGAAGGGCACUCAACGUAAGUAUUUUGGAAGUUUCAAAGUUGAACACGACACUUGCUGCCAAAGUUGGCAUAUGUUACCAUGCCAGAUAUCAAUUAUCUGUUUUUAUCCUUAACGUCUCUGAAUGUUAAUGCUGAAAAACAAUUUUUGUAUUGAUAGUUUUGUUAUUUCAUGGAGCAUAGGAUCUAUUCCAUAUUGCCAUGAACUUUCCCCCCCUUUUUCUUGUUAGGUUGAAUUAUUAUUUAGCUUGCAACUCUCUUGCAAUAAAUAUAUUUUGUUACCAACAUGUUUUUGCACAGUAAUGCCUUCAGACUAUAUUCGAAUACUCCAUAAAGCAAAAAGAGUGUUAACAUCGAUAUCAAACACACACUAAAUUCCUGAAUUUUGAUUUUAUAUUGAAAUGAUUCGAUACUGCCUCCACAUCAGUGCUUACUGUUUUCUUCAGUUUUUGUUAACUUCUGUUUGUUAAUCAGUCUCAACUAUAGGACAUUAAUGCUUGUUUUCUUGAAUUUCAAUAAUUUUAUCUCUUUUAAGUGAACAACCUGUCACAGUAAGUUAUCUGUUUGACAUGUGUACUGAUGUGCAUUUAUUCAUUGC
rnacentral:lncRNA from 1 species